UACGUAGGGGGCGAGCGUUGUCCGAAGUUACUGGGCGUAAAGAGUGCGUAGGCGGCUUGACAAGUUGCAUCUAAAAGGCGUCAGCUCAACUGACGAGUGCGGUGCAAGACUGUAAAGCUUGAGGCAAGCAGAAGAAUGUGGAACUCCGAGUGUAGCGGUGGAAUGCGUAGAGAUGUGGAGGAACACCGAUGGCGAAGGCAGCCCCCUGGGUCAAAACUGACGCUCAUGCACGAAAGCGUGGGGAGCAAACAGG
rnacentral:rRNA from 1 species